rnacentral:lncRNA from 1 species
AGAAAACUAAAUUAUCCAUCCAAUUCAAAAGUGGAAAACUUCCAUUCAUAUAAAAAUUCUUUCAUAGCAGAUUGGGGGCUGGGGCUGGGGAAUGGGAAGUGACAGCUUAAUGGGUACGAGGCUCCCUUUUGGGUUGAUGAAAAUGGAACUAGAUAGGGAUGGCAGUGGUACAACAUUUGACUAUCCUAAAUGCCUCUGAAUUGUUCACUUUAAGAUGGCUGUUUUUAUGUUGUGUGAAUUUCACCUCAAAAAAAUUAUUCCUUUCUUUUCAACGAAAAUGGAGCGUUGACUGUGUUUCACAUACUGUUGAAUGUCCUGGGGACAUAUUGACGAGGAAGACGCCCAAGAUGCCCACCCCACAGAGCAUAAGGUCUAGUGAAACAUACAGCUGCUGGCAGAAUGAUGUUGAAAAGAGAAGAUCGAGAGAGCAGGAGUCCUGGGUGCCCGGAAUUACUCUGGAAGACGAAUGUGUGAUCUGGGCACAGAGCCGCUGUGACCUUCAGAAUGGCUGUGCCAGCACGUCCAGGGCUGGAGGACCAGGCUGGGGUCUGCACAGACCUCCUGUGAAAGACACUGCAGAAGGCAGCCCGUGGACGGGGUGGACGUGUUUGCGGCAUCCAACAAAGGUACACAGUUGUAUAUUCUUCGUUGUGGGUCCUUCUAGUUGUGGCGUGUGGGAUGCUGCCUCAGCAUGGUUUGAUGAGCAGUGCCAUGUCUGUGCCCAGGAUUUGAACCAACGAAACACUGGGCCGCCUGCAGCGGAGCGCACGAACUUAACCACUCGGCCAUGGGGCCAGACCCCAUUUUAACCAUUUUAAAGUGUACAAUUCAGUGGCAUUUACUACAUUCACAGUAUUGGGCAACCAUCACCAUUAUCUGGCUCCAGAACAUUUCAGCACCCCAAAAGGGAAAUUCUGUACCCAUCAGCAGUCAGUCCCAAUGCCUCCCAACUCCUGGCAACCACUAAUCUACUUUCCAUCUCUAUGCGUUUGUCUGUUCUGGACAUUUUGUAUAAAUGGAAUCAUAUAUUAU